rnacentral:rRNA from 1 species
GACGAACGCUGGCGGCGUGCCUAAUACAUGCAAGUCGAGCGAAUCGAUGGGAGCUUGCUCCCAUUGAUUAGCGGCGGACGGGUGAGUAACACGUGGGUAACCUGCCUGUAAGACUGGGAUAACUUCGGGAAACCGGAGCUAAUACCGGAUAGUUUCUUUCUCGCAUGAGAGAAUAUGGAAAGAUGGUUUCGGCUAUCACUUACAGAUGGACCCGCGGCGCAUUAGCUAGUUGGUGAGGUAAUGGCUCACCAAGGCAACGAUGCGUAGCCGACCUGAGAGGGUGAUCGGCCACACUGGGACUGAGACACGGCCCAGACACCUACGGGUGGCUG